rnacentral:rRNA from 1 species
UACGUAGGGGGCGAGCGUUGUCCGAAUUUACUGGGCGUAAAGCGCGCGUAGGCGGUUUCUUAAGUCUGGGGUGAAAGGUUCAACGCUCAACGUGAACAGUGCCUUGGAUACUGGGAGACUUGAGUCUGGGAGGGGGUAGUGGAAUUCCUGGUGUAGCGGUGAAAUGCGUAGAUAUCUGGAGGAACACCGGUGGCGAAGGCGGCGUCCUGGACCAACACUGACACUGAGGAGCGAAAGCCAGGGGAGCAAACGGG